GAAAUGCGAUAAGUAAUGUGAAUUGCAGAAUUCAGUGAAUCAUCGAAUCUUUGAACGCACAUUGCGCCCGGCAGCAAUCUGCCGGGCAUGCCUGUCCGAGCGUCAUUUCUGCCCUCGAGCGCGGUUCGGCCCCUAGCGGGCCGGCCGCCGCCCGGUGUUGGGGCACUGCGGGCCCUCGUGCCCGCAGGCCCUGAAAUGAAGUGGCGGUCCCGCCGCGGCGCCCCCUGCGUAGUAGUAAAGCACCUCGCAUCGGGUCCCGGCGGAGGCCAGCCGUCGAACCUCUCUUUUGAUGGUUUGACCUCGGAUCAGGUAGGGUUACCCGCUGAACUUAAGC
rnacentral:misc_RNA from 1 species